AUUGAACGCUGGCGGCAUGCCUUACACAUGCAAGUCGAACGGCAGCACGGGAGCAAUCCUGGUGGCGAGUGGCGAACGGGUGAGUAAUAUAUCGGAACGUGCCCAGGUAGUGGGGGAUAGCCGGCGAAAGCCGGAUUAAUACCGCAUACGACCUGAGGGUGAAAGCGGGGGAGUCGCAAGACCUCGCGCUAUUGGAGCGGCCGAUAUCAGAUUAGCUAGUUGGUGGGGUAAAGGCCUACCAAGGCUACGAUCUGUAGUUGGUCUGAGAGGACGACCAGCCACACUGGGACUGAGACACGGCCCAGACUCCUACGGGAGGCAGCAGUGGGGAAUUUUUGGACAAUGGGCGCAAGCCUGAUCCAGCCAUGCCGCGUGAGUGAAGAAGGCCUUCGGGUUGUAAGUACGUCUUUCGGUCCGGGACGGAAA
rnacentral:rRNA from 1 species